UACAGAGGGUGCAAGCGUUAAUCGGAAUUACUGGGCGUAAAGCGUGCGUAGACGGUUAUGUAAGUCGGGUGUGAAAGCCCCGGGCUCAACCUGGGAAUUGCAUUCGAGACUGUGUAGCUAGGGUACGGAAGAGGGAAGCGGAAUUUCAGGUGUAGCGGUGAAAUGCGUAGAUAUCUGAAGGAACACCAGUGGCGAAAGCGGCUUCCUGGUCCAGUACCGACGUCAGGCACGAAAGCGUGGGGAGCAAACAG
rnacentral:rRNA from 1 species